GACGAACGCUGGCGGCGUGCUUAACACAUGCAAGUCGAACGAUGAAGAAGAGAAACGCGAACUUCGGUUCAAAUUUCACUUCGGAUUAGUGGCAGACGGGUGAGUAACGCGUGAGCAACCUACCUCUUACAAAGGGAUAGCCUCGGGAAACCGUGAUUAAUACCAUAUGACACAUUCAUAAGGCAUCUUAAGAAUGUUAAAGCUACGGCGGUAAGAGAUGGGCUCGCGUCCCAUUAGCUAGUUGGUGAGGUAACGGCCCACCAAGGCGACGAUUGGUAACCGGCCUGAGAGGGUGAACGGUCACAUUGGAACUGAGACACGGUCCAAACUCCUACGGGAGGCAGCAGUGGGGAAUAUUGCACAAUGGAGGGAACUCUGAUGCAGCGACGCCGCGUGAGCGAUGAAGGAAUUCGUUUCGUAAAGCUCUGUUCUAUGGGAAGAAAAGGACUGUACCAUAGGAGAAAGCCCCGGCUAAAUACGUG
rnacentral:rRNA from 1 species